AGAGCGAACGCUGGCGGCAGGCCUAAAACAUGCAAGUCGAACGAACCCUUCGGGGUUAGUGGCGGACGGGUGAGUAACACGUGGGAACGUGCCCUUUGGUUCGGAACAACUCAGGGAAACUUGAGCUAAUACCGGAUGUGCCCUUCGGGGGAAAGAUUUAUCGCCAUUGGAGCGGCCCGCGUCUGAUUAGCUAGUUGGUGAGGUAAAGGCUCACCAAGGCGACGAUCAGUAGCUGGUCUGAGAGGAUGAUCAGCCACACUGGGACUGAGACACGGCCCAGACUCCUACGGGAGGCAGCAGUUAGGAAUCUUGCGCAAUGGGCGAAAGCCUGACGCAGCCAUGCCGCGUGAAUGAUGAAGGUCUUAGGAUUGUAAAAUUCUUUCAGCAGGGAAGAUAAUGACGGUACCUGCAGAAGAGCUCCGGCUAACUCGCGCCAGCAGCCGC
rnacentral:rRNA from 1 species